CAAAUAUCUGCCCUAUCAACUUUCGAUGGUAGGAUAGUGGCCUACCAUGGUUUGUUACGGGUAACGGGGAAUAGGGUUCGAUUCCGGAGAGGGAGCCUGAGAAAACGGUACCACAUCCAAGGAAGGCAGCAGGCGCGCAAAUUACCCAAUCCCAAUUCGGGGAGGUAGUGACAAUAAAUAACAAUAUAGGGCUCUUUUGGGUCUGUAUAAUUGGAAUGAGUACAAUUUAAAUCACUUAACGAGGAACAAUUGGAGGGCAAGUCCUGGUGCCAGCAGCCCGGGUAAUUCCAGCUCCAAUAGCGUAUAUUAAAGUUGUUGCAGUUAAAAAAGCUCGUAGUUGAAAUUUGGGCCUGG
rnacentral:rRNA from 1 species